rnacentral:rRNA from 1 species
CACGCAGUAAACGAUGAUCACUCGUUGUUGGCGAUACACAGUCAGCGACUAAGGGAAACCGAUAAGUGAUCCACCUGGGGAGUACGGCCGCAAGGCUGAAACUCAAAGGAAUUGACGGGGGCCCGCACAAGCGGUGGAGCAUGUGGUUUAAUUCGAUGAUACGCGAGGGACCUUACCUGGGCUCAAAUGUAAGUUGACGUAUGGUGAAAGCUAUAUUUCUUCGGACAAUUUACAAGGUGCUGCAUGGUUGUCGUCAGCUCGUGCCGUGAGGUGUCGGGUUAAGUCCCAUAACGAGCGCAACCCCUAUCAUUAGUUGCCAUCAGGUCAAGCUGGGGACUCUAAUGAAACUGCCUACGCAAGUAGA